AUGUGAACCGUACUGACUAUCAGCUGAUUGAUAUUUCUGAAGAUGACUUUGUAAGUUUUCUUUUACUUAUUAUUAGGAUAUAUAUCUAUUUUGUUGAAGGCUGUGUUGCUUUCUUUUUGUUUGCUGAAUGCUGAAGAUGCUGCCAUAUCCUGAAAUCUGAGAGUAUUUUUUUUGGAAGGUUGCUAUACAUGACAACAAAAUGUCAUCUUUCAUAUUUUCAUUCCAUUAAAAAAUCAAAAAUAUCAUCUUAUUUUGACUUGUGUAUAAAAAACUUAUCUUGAGUUGAUAAGUAUUAAUUGAUUAAGUAAAAAAAAUGAAGUUUUUCUUAAACUUAUCUUAAACAAAUAUAUGAUAACAAUAGUUCUGUGAUGUUUUCAUUCCAUGAAGAAAAUCUAAUAUUUCAUAUUAAAUUCUACCAAAUGAAUAAUUAAUUUAUUUUUUUAGACUUAAACAAAUAACACUGUUCAACUCAAGAUAAGUUUUUUAUACACAAGUCAAAAUAAGAUGACAUGGGGGUGCAUUUCCAACCUUAAAUUUUUCUCAUGUUGGUUGAAUAUAAUUUGGUUGAUUUGGAAAAGAAAAAAUGAACAAUUAUGAUUCCAUUGGCUGCUGAUGUAAUGACUAACACGUCUACAACAAGAAAUAGAGACAUAAUUUUGGUAUUCUUCGAGAGUAGCUAACAUUUCUUAACCUAUUUGUGUGUUACUUUUAGGUGAGUCUGUUGACUGAUAAUGGAAGUACCAAGGAUGAUUUGAAACUUCCCACUGAUGAUGCACUUCUUUACCUUCUUUAUUCAUUACAAUCGGAUUAUUCAUUUCACCUUCCAUGACUUCAAUUUGAAUGUGAAUGGUAGGGACAGAACAAUUUCGUGUGAAAAUCUUAAAAAGAAAAUCAAAUCUGAGCAUUCUUGGGAACCAUCAUCAUGGAGCCCGGUAAGGAAAUAUCGUAAAAUGCAUGACAUACUUGCGAGGGUUCCACCUGGCUUUGAAGCUCAUGGUAAGAAUUAUUCUUUGUGAAACUUCAUUCAUUGACCAAAUUGUAUAUUGUUGAAGAUCCGUGUCUAACAGUGCAUGUUUUGAUUCAACUCAUAUCUGUACUCCUAUAGUGGGAAAUUUGCACAUGGUUUUAUUAGAUUUAGUAUGUGCAUAAGUUUAGUUACUCCUUAUUUUGGUCAUGGGUGUUUAAUACUUUAUUUGAUGUUUAAUUUCCAACAUGUGCGGUUGGGUUAACAAUCAUAGAACUUAAUGCUACAUUUUCUCCACAGUGAACCUGUUGUUGGGAUUGCAGAAUUAGUGUUGCAGCAGCUGCAACUGCUUCUUCAAUGACACGAGCUAAUUAGUUGCUAUUUGACUUUUAAAAAAAUCAGUAAACCAAAUACCAUGUCUACUUGAUUCCAUUUUAUAGUUGUCAAAUUAUGUGUUGGAAAUUUUUCAAGUGGUGAUGAAAGGUAAGUUCUGAAGAUGGAGCAUCAAAGAUGAAGAUCUAUAACUUUGGUUGACUACUAAAUUCAUAUGCUAAUUAGUUGGUUUUUUCAAAGGAUUUUAGAAGUGAAAAGAGUUUAUUAAAAAAUGAGAGGGUCCAGUACUAGCACCAACACGUCGUCAACUGAAGCAUUUUACUGAUAAGAAGACAUACGAAGCAAUGGAUGGGUUAGCUAAGUUUCAAAACAAGAAUGCUCAUCAAUUAGCCAUGAAAGUUGUCCGCAAUUAUCUUAGUGUAGAUAAUAAAGACCAAUCAAUUUAUUUGAUCUAUUUUAUUUUAUUUUAUUUCUUAUCAUUAAA